AUAAUGAUACUUCCGUCCAGUCACAGUCCGAGCGUGAAGCGGCAAGCCUGCCGCAAUCCGCCGCAGGCAAUGAGGGCGGCCCGGUGAGAUCCACGGGGUGGUGAAAUUCCAAUGA
ncrna:unclassified sequences pemK RNA